rnacentral:rRNA from 1 species
GACGAACGCUGGCGGCGUGCUUAACACAUGCAAGUCGAGCGGAAAGGCCACUUCGGUGGUACUCGAGCGGCGAACGGGUGAGUAACACGUGAGUAAUCUGCCCUUGGCUUUGGGAUAGCCACCGGAAACGGUGAUUAAUACCGGAUACGACCACUCCAGGCAUCUGGUGGUGGUGGAAAGUUUUUCGGCCAGGGAUGUGCUCGCGGCCUAUCAGCUUGAUGGUGAGGUAAUGGCUCACCAUGGCUUCGACGGGUAGCCGGCCUGAGAGGGUGACCGGUCACACUGGGACUGAGACACGGCCCAGACUCCUACGGGAGGCAGCAGUGGGGAAUAUUGGACAAUGGGCGGAAGCCUGAUCCAGCAACGCCGCGUGAGGGAUGACGGCCUUCGGGUUGUAAACCUCUUUCGGUAGAGACGAAGCGCAAGUGACGGUACCUACUAAAGAAGCACCGGCCAACUACGUG